rnacentral:lncRNA from 1 species
UUCAGGAGUUUAUCCACUUCCUCAGCUAUCGCUUUUUGCCUUUCUGGUGCAUGACCUCGGAUUUUUUCUUUCGUCAGUCGAUGCUUUGGAUCAACAGCCAGACGAUGUUCCAUGACCUCUGCGUCAAUCCCCGGCAUGUCCGCUAGAACCCAAGUGAAAACAUCCGCAUUCUUUCGUAGGAAAUCAAUAAACUGCGUCCGCACCUCUUCCCCCA